UCAGGUGAAAUCGAAAUUUGACAACUGGAUAAAUUUUGAAAUGCCAAUUAGAAUUUUUGGGCUAUGGAUAGCAGCCAAUUGAACUGAUAUGAAUAGUACUGACUUGUUACUCGUCAGUUCAGUUACUCGAUAAUUUCGGAAAAAUUCAUUGAGAACAAAUUCGGUGUACAAUAUUUUUAUUGAUUUAUAUUUAUUAAAGUCAUGGUGGCACUACGGUCGGGAAGAAAAGGUAAUGGGAUGUAUACGACUAGUGCACUGCAACAAGGUGUGAAAAGAUUAUCAGGUUACAAUUAUGGAAUUAUGAAAAAACGUCGUUACGAUCAUCCUUACGCAACGCGAUCCAAGACUUGUACGAGUUUAGAAUUUCCGGUUAACAAAAACAAGAUGAAGCUGCACAGAGAAUCAUCGGGUACGAGUGUUAUAUUUCUUGGGUAUUAUCGCAAAAUACCAGAACUGAUAACACUGGAUGAUAGCACUACGGGGGUGAAGUCUGAUCAAGUAGAGGAAUAAUUGUGAGAUAAUAAAAGCUUUUCCUCUCUUCAUGGCGUCCAGCUCACGAGACAGGAAGUCUUUAACGUGAGGUCGUUCCUCCAGUGAUGCCAAUUUCGAACGGUCUGCAUUGGUGAGGGGAGUCGCUUUCACUCCCAGUGCAACCAACUCUGAGG